GAUGAAGAACGCAGCGAAUUGCGAUAAGUAAUGUGAAUUGCAGAAUUCAGUGAAUCAUCGAAUCUUUGAACGCACAUUGCGCCCGCUGGUAUUCCGGCGGGCAUGCCUGUUCGAGCGUCAUUUCAACCCUCAAGCCCCCGGGUUUGGUGUUGGGGAUCGGCUCUGCCCUUCUGGGCGGUGCCGCCCCCGAAAUACAUUGGCGGUCUCGCUGCAGCCUCCAUUGCGUAGUAGCUAACACCUCGCAACUGGAACGCGGCGCGGCCAUGCCGUAAAACCCCAACUUCUGAAUGUUGACCUCGGAUCAGGUAGGAAUACCCGCUGAACUUAAGCAUAUCAAUAAGCGGAGGA
rnacentral:misc_RNA from 1 species